rnacentral:rRNA from 1 species
AUGAUGAAAACCGCGCCAGAGCAUUGGUGUAGGGCCUUUUUUAGGAUUGACUCUUUAUGUGACUCAGUUGAGAACAACAUGUGUGAGUCAUUUAAUAAUGCCAUCAUGAGAUCAAGGUUCUACCAUGUAGUAACGGCAAUGGAAAUCAUUAGAAAGAAGGUCACUGUGAGGAUCCAACAAAACAGAGCAAAGUCUCAGAAGUGGCAUGGAACCAUUUAUCCAAAUAUUUUUAAGAAAUUGAAG